CUGUUUAGAGAAAUCUAGAUAGUACUUAGAUAUCCUCAUCAAGGAUCAGAAGCUAAACUGAAUUGGGCCUGGUUUAGUAUUUGCAUGGAAGACUAGUGGGAAUUUUAGGGUCUAGGCAGA
rnacentral:rRNA from 1 species